rnacentral:misc_RNA from 1 species
GAAGCAAAACUUAUUGCUGCCUCAAAUUUAGCAUCCAAAACGGCAUUCAAUAAUUUCAAUGCAAUAAUAAUUCAUGGCAUAACAUGAGAAAAACAGGGAGCAAAAGGUCCAUGAUGAGACAAUCUCGCAUGAUGUACGUAAUUUAAUCUCUUGAUUUACAUAAACACAAGGAUUGGAAAAGCUUAGUUUAACCAGAAUUCAACCAGGGCUUAAGAAUUUAGAAUGUGACCAUUUUCUGCCAAGAUGCUGUCCAAUAAUGAUUCACAAGCAUCUUCAAGUAGAUCCAA